rnacentral:tRNA from 1 species
AAGAAAGAAACAUAAUGGUUGUGUUGCUGGCUUGAAACCGGUUAUAGGGGGUUCGAUUCCUUCCUUUCUUG